rnacentral:rRNA from 1 species
AGUGAACGCUGGCGGCGUGCUUAACACAUGCAAGUCGAACGAGAACGGAUUAUAGCUUGCUAUAAUUGUCAGCUAAGUGGCGCACGGGUGAGUAAUGUAUAGGUAAUAUGCCUCUUACUAAGGGAUAACAAAUGGAAACGUUUGCUAAUACCUUAUACUCCUUAUUAACAGAAGUUAAUAAGGGAAAGAUUUAUUGGUAAGAGAUUAGCCUGUAUUGUAUCAGUUAGUUGGUGGGGUAAUGGUUUACCAAGACUAUGACACAUAACUGGUUUGAGAGGAUGAUCAGUCACACUGGAACUGAGACACGGUCCAGACUCCUACGGGAGGCAGCAGUGGGGAAUAUUGCACAAUGGACGGAAGUCUGAUGCAGCAACGCCGCGUGGAGGAUGACACAUUUCGGUGCGUAAACUCCUUUUAUAUGAGAAGAUAAUGACGGUAUUAUAUGAAUAAGCACCGGCUAACUUCGUGCCAGCAGCCGCGGUAA